GCCUUUGUGGUGUACUGGUUAGUACGCUCGGCACGUAUUCGAGAGGUUCGUGGUUCAAGUCCCGGCAAGGGCA
rnacentral:tRNA from 1 species